GCAAGUCGGACGGAAACGAUAGAGAAGCUUGCUUUUCUAGGCGUCGAGUGGCGGACGGGUGAGUAACGCGUGGGAAUCUACCCUAUAGUUGGGGACAACAUAUGGAAACGUAUGCUAAUACCGAAUAUGCUCUACGGAGUAAAGGUGCCCUCUCCUUGGAAGGUAUCGCUAUAGGAUGAGCCCGCGUGAGAUUAGCUAGUUGGUAAGGUAAUGGCUUACCAAGGCAACGAUCUCUAGCUGGUUUGAGAGGAUGAUC
rnacentral:rRNA from 1 species